rnacentral:misc_RNA from 1 species
CCCUGGAUCACAAUACUUUUUCCUUUUGCAACUUGCAUGAGGUCUCACCGGAUGGGCGAAUCAGUUUGACAGCAUUUGCUAGUUCUGGAGGAGAAUGGUGUUCUUAAAAUUGGUUUAUGUACACAAGCUAGCCAAAAACCACUUGUGUUAUAUUCCCUUAGUUGCAUCUUAUGAGUUGAAACCAUUUGCAAUGCAACUUUUAUUGAGCAACUGCAAAAGCAUUACUUUCUAGGCAUGAAAAACAUUAGGAAUCGUUCGAGAGAGACUUCUUUUAGGCUCUCAGGAGCAUCCA